GGGAUUGAACACCCAACAGGUCCAUAAUGUCAACUUUGCCUUUGAACUGAUGCAAGAUGGUGGACUUCCAAAGCCCAAAGCACGACCAGAAGAUGUUGUUAACCAAGAUCUGAAAUCAACUCUACGUGUCCUCUAUAACAUCUUCACCAAAUACAAAGGUCAAGCACCGUGAUAUGACAAUGUCAAAAUGUCUCUGUGAAAUCAGCUCCAAGAACAACACCACACUGCCAAGUAAACUUCGACAAACCACAGCAGCUGAAACCAGUGUUAAACAUUGAAACUCAUUUGUCUGCUUAUCGUAUUUAUUUUGUAUACUGCAUUUACAAUGUACUUCUUAUAUACUGGUACAGUUGAAGUACAAGCUUCACAAAUUACUAAUGCCUCUGUAACAUCAGAAAUACUGUAAACUUUUUGCUUUGGCAGGUUCAAAUCAAAAUCCAUAUUAGAAUUUAAAUGUACCCACAGUAUUUGUUGUAGAACUUUUAAAAACUGUGGUUAGCGUAGUUGUAGCUAGUGCUAGAAUGAUCAUACCUGACACAGCUGAAUGUUUACAGUAUCCUUUCUGAUAUUGCAGUAACAGUAGGUUACCAUAUGGGAAACCUUCUUUAUAAUGUUACACUUUUUUAUUCUAAUAAUGCUUGGGACUCGACAUUUUUCAACUAGGGAACUUUAAGGUCAUGUACUUUAAAUAUUCUCAUUAUUUAUAUGGUGUUAAUGUUAUGAAUUUACUGUCACUAUAUUUUAUGUUUAUGUCAUUUUCUUGUGUUAUAUCAUUCAUACUGAAAAAUUAUCCAAACAACUGGUAUUAUCACAUCUCAUUUUCUGUGUAUGUAGGUGUUACCUGUGCAUGUAGGUGUUACCUGUGUAUGCAGGUGUAACCUAUGUAUGUAGGUGUUACCUAUGUAUGUAGGUGUAACCUAUGUAUGUAGGUAUUACCUGUGUAUGUAGGUGUUACCUAUGUAUUCAAGUGUUACCUGUGUAUGUAGGUGUUACUUAUUUAUGUAGGUAUUACCUGUGUAUGUAGGUGUUACCUGUGUAUGUAGGUGUUACCUAUGUAUUCAGGUGUUACCUGUGUAUGUAGGUGUUACUUAUGUAUUCAGGUGUUACCUGUGUAUGUAGGUGUUACUUAUUUACGUAGGUAUUACCUGUGUAUGUCGGUAUUACCUGUGUAUGUAGGUGUUACCUAUGUAUGUAGGUAUUACCUGUGUAUGUAGGUGUUACCUAUGUAUGUAGGUGUUACCUGUGUAUUUAGGUAUUACCUGUAUAUUUAGGUGUUACCUGUGUAUGUAGGUAUUACCUGUGUAUUUAGGUAUUACCUGUAUAUUUAGGUGUUACCUGUGUAUGUAGGUAUUACCUGUGUAUGUAGGUAUUACCUGUGUAUUUAGGUUUUACCUGUAUAUUUAGGUGUUACCUGUGUAUGUAGGUAUUACCUGUAUAUUUAGGUAUUUCCUGUGUAUGUAGGUAUUACCUGUGUAUGUAGGUAUUACCUAUAUAUUUAGGUGUUACCUAUGUAUGUAGGUAUUACCUGUCUAUUUAGGUAUUACCUGUGUAUGUAAGUAUUACCUGUGUAUUUAGGUUUUACCUGUGUAUGUAGAUGUUACCUGUCUAUUUAGGUAUUACCUGUGUAUGAAGGUGUUACCUGUGUAUGUAGAUGUUACCUGUAUAUGUAGGUGUUACCUAUGUAUGUAGAUGUUACUUCUAUAAUUGUUACCUGUGUAUGUACGUGAGGAGAAACAUCUGGUACUGCCUGGAGAGAUGGUUUGGAGCAGUACCAGUAUCCUAUAUCUGGGAAUCAGCUUAUAACUGGCCUCAGUUACUGGCUUACAUACCAGUUUUUUGGUUGUUUAUUCUGUGCGGUAACAUAAUCUAGACGUCAUCACUAACAAGACAAGUGUGUACUAAGUUGUUACAAAUCACUCUGUUGUUUGUCGGUAUGUGAGUUAAAAGAACAUAGAACCUUAUCUAAGCUUUCAUUACUUUGUUCACCAUAGUUAAUAUAUGUAAUGGAAAGCAAGGAGUGAACUCUAAAAUCGGCUGCUUUCAGUCCAAUUUGGCGUUGAAUUUAGGUCAGUCUUUGGAAGCAUUGGUUAAUAUGUUGACUCCUGCCAUCAUUGUUUGUGGUCCAAGAUUCUAGUCUAUCAUUGCAAGGUCCAAGUUCAAAGAUAAAUGAGUGAAGUCUCUAUGAACAUUUCCCUUUUCACCUAUAUUCACACUGGUCUACUCGAAGGGUUUUUUUUAAGCCAAACACACAUACAGCUAACCUAAAACAUCUGUGUCCUAUUUUUUGUGGGAUAAUCCAGUGGGUCAUAUCACAGUUGAAGUACUGUACCUUAUACUUAAGGAUCACUUUACAUUGUAGUCCAGUAUCACUGGUACUCCUGUACACUGUACUCAGUACAUUGUAUUUAUCACUCCUCUCUUUAUCCCUGUAUAUCAUAUCCAGUAUCACUGUCUACACACUGUACUCAGUGUAUAUGAUGGGAUGGACUCCCUCUCAUUAUGGUACAAAUCAGCUAAGACAAUAGUGUGUAUUUUGUAAUUGACUGUAUAAGUGAGAUUGACCAGAUGCCAAAGCCUACACAAUAGUGUGAUAGUGUUUCAUACCCUGCAGUGUUAUCAGUGUUAGUGUGGUAAAUAAUCAGAAAUGUGUCUCAUCAAAAUCGAGAAAUACACUUGUUAAUUUCUUAUAAUGUCUUAUAAUGUAAAUUAUUUCAUUGGAAAGAAAAAAUUCUCCACUUGAAAUUAUCUAAUUUUAUCAUAUUGAUUUCUAAAGCUGUAGUUUGAAAUGUAUAACAUUUACCAUAGCUUGUGCUUGAGAACAAAAGAGUAUGAAUCAAUUUAUUAACAGUUACAUCUAUCAAUACCUCUGAAAUUAAAAGAUCACCAUGCCAUCCAUCAUAAAGUUGUUAUUUUUCAACUGUUUUUAUAUGCAAAAAUGACAUUAUACAGGUGUUAUAUAAUCUACCCCAGUAUUACAGUAUACAGGUGUUAUAUAAUCUACCCCUGUAUUACAGUAUACAGGUGUUAUAAUCUACCCCUGUAUCACUGUAUACUGGUGUUAUUUUUACUGUAUGCAAAUGUUUUCUGUGAUUUUGAUAUGAAGUAAACAAAUUUAUUUUAAAAAGAAUCGUUUAAUUCACUGUCUUCUUAUUAACUGAUAGGUACUGUAUUAAGUGGUCUAGACCUCAUUUUGUCAUAGAAGAUACCGAUAUCAUUGGAAAAAUUUUUGGUUUUUUUGAUAAUUUGAAGUUUUUAAAGAUAUGUUUGAAACCAAAGAAUAUUAGUGCUUUGCCAAAUGUUUAAAAUAAACUAUCAGAAAAUGUGAGCUAUAUAGACAAGAAUAGUUUGUUUGACUGUAGGCGUGGUAGAUAUUAUUGCUUACGUUAUCUAUGUAUAGCGUCCUCAAUAUGCCUCAUCAUUACAGGAAUGUUUCUUAUGUUCUUGAGACGAUUAUAGAUCUGUAUUUAUAUUUAUUUAUAUAUUUGUGUGUAUGUUUAAAUUAUCUAACCUUCUUUUCAUCUUGUGUUAUUUUAGAAUGCAACUUCUAUUUUUUCAAAAUAAAAAUAUUCUGGCAGGCAAGAAGUAAGAAAUGUAGAGUAAAAAUGGCUUGAAAGUUUGCUUAAUGGUCAAAUAAAAAUUUCUUAACGAUAUGAUUGAAAAAUUGCGUCAUAUGAUCAGAAUUUAUAUAUGCAACUUUUUUUUAGUUGAUUUAUCCUUCUAAAGCAAUAUGAAUUCUUCAAAGCCAAAAGUAUUAAAAUCUCAUCUAUAUGGUUAUAUUGUUAUAACGAUUAUGAUAUACAGUGUAAUUAAUAUACUGUAAAGUAGAUAUUGAUGUGUUUUGAUGUUUUAACAGUGUUGAAAUUUUACACUGGUAAUGUUACCAGAUGCUUUAUAGUAUGUCUUUCUGAUUCUUUUUACAUAAUUCUGUGUUGGUCAAGCAAACCCAAAAUAAACAUGAAACUUUAAAAACAAGAUCAUUCAAAAUUCAAAAUCAAUUGAAUUAAUUACAGAGUGUUUCUACAUAAUUGUGGCCUUGACCUAUUUCAUAAAUCAUUAUUAGAUAUAUAUAUAUAUAUAUAUAUUUGUUUGAUUAAGUUAUGUCAUUUCUGCUGGAAUGCAAGGUAUCUGUACAUACUUUUGGUGCUAAAUCUAUAAUUAUAUAUAAUCACAUAUUUAGAUGACAUUUAAAAUAUGUAUAAACAAUAAUAAUAUGUGCAUGACAAUAAAAAAUUUUUUUAUUAAACAA